AUGACACAGCUUAAAACCAGGAACAUCAAGUAAAAUAACUACUGCUGAGAGGGAAUAAAAGUUGGCAGUAAGAUGGGUUUCUGCCUGAAACCAGAGGUGUGGUGCAAAUCCUCGGUUGCUGUGACCUGCUUUACCCCUGCUGGAAAAGAAGCCACAGAUACAUGAGUGCCCUGAAGACCUUCUAUCUAACCUGUCAGUCAAAUGAAUCAGUGAGUCAUUGUGUCAGAAAUACAGAGUCUUGCAUGCUGUACUCUGUGGUGAGUCCAUGAUUUUCCUGAUUACUGCACACAAACAACACUUCUUCGUAGCUGUGUGUUGCUGAUGAAUGAAUGCAAAAUAAGAUGAGUGAAAAAACUUCUGCUUCAGCUUUUGUGAUUGCUGUUAGGAAGAUGUUGAUUCAAUUCCUUUUCUUUGCCUCAUGCUCC